GUGCUAGUGACGUAAUACGGUAUAUAUGGGGUCAGUAAAUUCCAUAUUUACUGACCCCAUAUAUACCGUAUUAGGUCACUAGCACACUA
rnacentral:sRNA from 1 species